rnacentral:rRNA from 1 species
UACGGAGGGUGCGAGCGUUGUCCGGAAUCACUGGGCGUAAAGGGCGCGUAGGCGGCCUGAUAAGUAGGGGGUGAAAUCCCUCGGCUUAACCGGGGAACUGCGUCUGAUACUGGAUGGCUUGAGUUUGGGAGAGGGAUGCGGAAUUCCAGGUGUAGCGGUGAAAUGCGUAGAUAUCUGGAGGAACACCGGUGGCGAAGGCGGCAUCCUGGACCAACACUGACACUGAGGAGCGAAAGCCAGGGGAGCAAACGGG